CACGUAGUUAGCCGGGGCUUCUUACUCAGGUACCGUCUUCUUUCUUCCCUGCUGAUAGAGCUUUACAUACCGAAAUACUUCUUCACUCACGCGGCGUCGCUGCAUCAGGGUUUCCCCCAUUGUGCAAUAUCCCCCACUGCUGCCUCCCGUAGGAGUUUGGGCCGCGUCUCAGUCCCAAUGUGGCCGUCCACCCUCUCAGGCCGGCUACUGAUCGUCGCUUUGGUAGGCCGUUACCCUGCCAACUGGCUAAUCAGACGCGGGCCCAUCUUAUACCACCGGAGUUUUUCACCCUGGGCCAUGCGGCCUCGGCGCUUACUGCGGUCUUAGCACCUAUUUCUAAGUGUUAUCCCCUCGUAUAAGGCGACGGUUACCCACGCGUUACUCACCCGUCCGCCCACUAAACGUAAAAUUA
rnacentral:rRNA from 1 species